GUGAACCUGAAGAGUGAAAAGAUCGGCAGAUUGACCGACAACUUUGUCAUAUUGCAGACCUUCUGCAGCAAGCCCAGCCAUUGCUACAACUGCCAACCUGGGAAAAGUUACAACAGCUCGACAUUUAUUAGGAUAGUAUGAAAGUUGCAAAAGCUAUCAAAUGGGUACCUAUCAAGUUCCUUCGCAUCAAGCUGGCCACUGUAUAUAAGUUUCUCUAGCCUUUCAUCGAUAAGAUUGACAUUCUCCUUCCCGAUAUCCAGAGAAUAACCCAGAAUAGGAAGACCAAGCAAAUAGGCAGCUGCAAUUGAAAGAGAAUAUCAUAUAGUAAGAAAGCAACCAAAUGACUCAGGUCAUCAUGUUUCGAUGCAUUGUUGCAGAUAAUGAGAGUACUUAAGAAAUGUGCCGCCUCAUGUCUGGCUACCCUCUCCUGAUAAUCUGGAAAAAACGAUGAAAACCCUUGAAUUGCAGCUUGAAGAAGCCUGCUCAGCAAAUCAAGUGAACUUUCUGAUAUUUGAACUUCAAAUACAAGACUCUAUGAUAAAAAGCAAACUUCAAAAUGUUACCCUGGUGAAAUGCUUCCCACAGCCAAGACUAUCAAAGAAAUGCUUCCGAUCAAGUAUGGUACAAAGAACCCCCAGUCCUACACAGACAAUACAGGUGGAUGAAGACCAGAAAUUGUCACAAAUUUCUAAUAUCUGUUACUUUAGUAACUGUGACAUGGUUGAGGGAAUUCUCAGGUCUUCUGAAGAAGAGAGAAAUGAAAGUUACCCCGGGAAGUUGGCCAGCAAGAAGACCCAGAAAUCCUGUUGUUCCCACCACCGUGAAGAGAAAAGCUGCCUGCAUCACAGAAAGCGAUCAAACAUAUGAACAGCCCUCUGAUAGUUAAGCAUUAAAUUUUGAUCAAAACAAGAAGCUGUCACAUUAGUGUACUUACAUCAUUUCUGAUGCUAGGGAUUGCGAGGUUCUCUGCAUUUUUUAUUCCGAGAGAUGUCAGCUCGCGGAGAGAUGUCUGGUUCAUGAUAAAUUCAAGCAUCAAACAACCUAUGUUUCGAGCAUCUUGACACAGAACUAUGAUAUAUUAAAAGCAUUGGUGAGCAAAUAUUAUUGAUGUACAUGUAUGCAAAAGGUUUCCAGAGAUUGCUAAAGUUUCAAGGGCAGUUUCCCAGAACUUCAUACUCUUUCUAAUUGAGACUGACCGUACGGCGUGAGACAUACGGCUGAGAACUCCAUUUCUUGGCCCAUCCCUCUUCACUCAGCUGAUCAAGCGCCUCCUUAACUGCAUUACUGUCUUUCUGCAACACAACAGAAAUACACAGUGCGCCAGAAACUCAGAUUCACACCUUUUGCUCUAAUACCCUGUUAGAUAACUAUUUGAAAACGUUGGGAGAAGAAACUACAUACCUUGUCAACAGCGGAUUGCAGGGUGUUGAGAUCAACACCAGGUGCAGCAGAAGAGGAAGAAGAUUUGAUUUGUGGGAGCUUGAAGGAGUUUUUAUAUUUAUAUUGAUGGUGAAAUGCAGUCAAUGUAGCAGGCUUUGAGAGAUGAAGAAUCAAGUUCAUGGUGAAAAUAAUAAUUUUAUUUUGUUUGUUUUAUAUUUUUUGGGUUUGAGCUUGCUCUUAGAGGGAAAAGAUUUUGUUUGUGGCCAAGAGGAAGAAGAGAUAAGGUAGUUGGGUUUGGCGCUUCAGGAUCAGUUGUUAGUUAUUCGACUUGUGAGACUGAGAUUGUAACACAUCACUCGGGCUUGACCAAGCGUUGAUAGCACUUGGGUGAAUACUGUCACUUUUUAAAAUAUAUGGACGAACUGGUAAUAAACCAAUUAGAUUUAUUGUUGGCAA